GUAGAAACAGGUGACAUUCCACUCCACCUUGCCAUUCUCUCCUGCUGCUCACUGUUACCUGCUAUUUUGAGCGCUGGAUACUAUAAAAUACGAAGGCAUCCAGACAGAGCUGUGGACCGGGUGAGCCUUAGCAUUUCACUCCAUUGCCCUCAUAACGGAGAUGCCUUGGACACGAUGGUCUCCUUGCCUGCCAGCCCAGAAAUGCAUGUUUCAGUAAGUCCAAAAACGUUAGCUAGGAAGCUCAACACCCUGCGAAAGAUCUCACUAUAACCCACUGAAGGAGAUUCAGGUUUUCCAGUGCAACUUCCCACCUACAGAGGAGCUCUGUUAACUGGCCCCCAUGAGGACUGGAUCACCUGCAGCCUCACCUAGAUUCCUCAGGCUGAAACAACGUUCCUCCAGUUUUCACAACCUUCUGCAGCCGAGUGCCUCAAAACCCUGUUCCGUCUGCAUCCUCCGUGCGCUGCCGAGAGCGGCUCACACCCACCACUCCUCAUUCUCUACUCUCCACCUCGCCUUCUUCUCAUCCCCGCUGCAGAGUCAGAGCCCAGGCCUCUCCGACUGAACAGCAGAUGAUGCCAAGCAUCUUCUUGUUUUCUGAGUUUUACCGAAGCUCAGACAGGUGGUGCCAAAGUGCUGACCACGACCACAUACCCCACCGCCUCCCAGGACCCCUCUCCUCUCUCUUCCCUCCCAAACAGUAG
ensembl:lncRNA